rnacentral:lncRNA from 1 species
UGCAGUCUCCCGAGCGUUCUGUUGUGUCCCUGCCUACAAUUUUAGGGAACCUAAUAAAAGGGUGGUCGGUAUGUUUUUAUUUGGGUGUGUACUUUUGUUAGGUCGCUUUUUCGCUAUGCAUUAAGUACGGACUUUAGGACUCAACUAGUACCAGGAAGAAAAAGACCGGACAUUUUCACCUGUUUGUUAUACAGCGAAGGGGAAAAAUUGGGAAGAAAUCCUCAAGCUACAAGAAAAAUAACCAGAAGCUUUACACUUUAGCCUGCAGUGACUUAUAUCCUGGUGUCCUAAGUCCACCUAAGUCAGUUUUGCAAUAAGAGGUCCCAAGUUUGGUUUUCUUGGAGCUUGCAUCAGUUGGUUGCAUCAUCCCUGAGUAGAAGAUUUGCGGUUGCAAGGAAAAAUAAGGUACAGAGCUUCUCCAGCGGGAAAGUGCAUGUCUGCACGGCACGAGCCCACGCACCGCAGAACAGGCUUGCCAGGUCUCCUCAGAGACCCUCGCAGGAACCUAACAAUGAAAUCCAGUUGUCCAGUCUUGAUUUGUGGAGGGGUAAGGAGAAUCCGAGGCCAGUGGGCAAUCCGCCCACUGUUGGGAGCGACUGACCUCACGAAUCAAUAAUUUGCUUUUGACUAGGAAGUGCAGCGGUUCUUGGGGGGAGGGGCUGGACUGGGUGGCGGACGCGAGGAGCAACGGUUCUCCCGAACCUCUCCCCCGCCCCUACUAUCUUGGCCUACAUUUUCCCGCUCCGUC